UUCCUGUUAUGUACGGGCGUUUACACUAUACACCUCUUGAUCCUAAUUUUUAUACUUUGGAAUGCCUUAAUUGGCCUUUGGUGUGCAAGCUGAUUUAGUUCAGAAGCCUAAAGAAGUCCAUCUAGGAAUCCACUUGAACCUAAGCGUUCAAGAGUCUUAGUGUCGAGCCACGGCUACUAUGGGGA
rnacentral:other from 1 species